AUAUAAUGGAAAGCGCCUGGGCCAAAAAUUUUUGGUUGACGAGGAAGAAGUCUAUCGAAUAUCGGCGGGUGGCUUCAGGGUCUGCACUCUACAGAUUGAUCGUUAAAAACAAGUGUAAGCUUGCAAUAAAGCGGCAAUCACGCAGUUGG
rnacentral:ncRNA from 2 species